GAGAAAGUUGCCUGGGAAGGAAAGUUCCACCGGGAUCUAUCUGCAUUCAUCACUCAGGGCUGUGGCCAUCACCUGUCAAAACCCAUCACGCCCCGCUGAGGGCCCUCACCUGCUGGCCGCAGGCCCCACAAAGCACCUUCGUGUGGGGGUGAUGCUGUAAUAACUCAUCCUCCCCACUCUAAUUGCCUCCCAACUCGUCAAAUGCUUCUGCACAGCUUGUUCCAGCCCCUGUGCCUUGUCAUUAGGGUUCAAAUCUUCCCAAGACCAUAAGCUUGGCUUUUUGCUCAUUUGGGGUGUUAAAAAAAAAGGCUAAGAGGGGUUAGGGGAGGAGAGGGACUAAAUAUAGCAAAUAUUUGCAGGCAUAAUCACUCCAUAAACAUGCUUCAGUGGAAGGGAGUGUAGGGCCGACCCAGAUGACGGAUGUCAUUCACCGGAGUGUCACGUCAUAAAUGAAACUGAAUGAGCCCAUUCUCCCUCGGAACCAAGAGUGACGCCUGUUCACACUAUAAAUAUUUAUGUAGUCAUGGUCCUUAAAAGACUUUAUUUUUCCAGGUAAGUAGAUUUUAAUGAAAAAGUUAAGCAGAGCUUUUCCUGCCAUUACGGAAUAGUCACUGUAGCUUUUUGACAUGGUAUUCCACCAGCAAGGAGAAGGGGAAAAAAGGAAGGAAAGGGGGAAAUCAGGCUGCCCUCCAUGAGGCUUCUGCGUGGGAUCUCAUUUAGGUCGGUCAAGGUGCAUUCUCGUGCAGAAAGUGACAGCCUUAAAUGGGGAGGCGGACACCAGAGGAAGUUCUAUGGGUCUCCGUUGGACCCAGGGCCUGUGUAAUGAAGGGAGCGCCGACAGACCCUUGUCCUCCAAGUUCAGACCCCCUCCCCCCACUCUGCCAGGAGAGUCGGGCGCCCUAGCUCUCUCCACUCUCUCCGCCCUCUCCGCCUGCCCCUUAGUAGCAGAAAAAAUGUACACUUCAGCCCAUCACUAUGCUCACUGGAGAAGAAUUCUCAGAAUUCCAAGACGUGUGCCCGAGUGUCCGGGGUGUUUAUGUAGAUACGCUGCUCUUCUCUACUCCUCCUGAUCACCUGAGCCAGGGCACCCCCAGAAACCCUGCCAGCCUCCGAUCCACUUUUGCUGCACUCCGCACCUCACGCCACUUGUCAAGGGGAGCUCCCCCCAGCGCCCCCGUCACCGUGGGCUCCCAGCACCAUUGCCACCCUCCCCUCCUCCAAGACACUCCUGCCACCUGGAGUUCCCAAGCCAUUGCCUCCAGAAUAAUUCUUGCUGCGUUUCCUGUCACUCUGCAGUUUACUCAUCACUUCAAGGCACCAAAACCCUAG
rnacentral:lncRNA from 1 species